UACAUAGGUCUCAAGCGUUGUUCGGAUUCAUUGGGCGUAAAGGGUGCGUAGGCGGCGCGUUAAGUCGGGUGUGAAAUCUCGGAGCUUAACUCCGAAACUGCAUUCGAUACUGCCGUGCUUGAGGACUGGAGAGGAGACUGGAAUUUACGGUGUAGCGGUGAAAUGCGUAGAUAUCGUAAGGAAGACCAGUGGCGAAGGCGGGUCUCUGGACAGUUCCUGACGCUGAGGCACGAAGGUCAGGGGAGCAAACGGG
rnacentral:rRNA from 1 species